rnacentral:rRNA from 1 species
ACAUGAAGCUGGAAUCGCUAGUAAUCGCGAAUCAGAAUGUCGCGGUGAAUACGUUCCCGGGUCUUGUACACACCGCCCGUCACACCAUGGAGUCGGAAAUGCCCGAAGUCAGUGACCCAACCGCAAGGAGGGAGCUGCCGAAGGUGGAGCCGGUAACUGGGGUGAAGUCGUAACAAGGUAGC